CGGCUAACGUGGGGCGACGAGCGGGGGUAAUAAGAGGGUGUUGAGGGUUAAUCGGGAGUGUGGGUGGUAAAGCGGCCGGAGGGUGUGUUUGAAGUCAGCUGUGAAAGCCCCGGGCUGAACCUGGGAGUUGCAUUUGAAACUGGGGAACUAGAGUGUGUGAGAGGGGGGUAGAAUUCCAAGUGUAGCGGUGAAAUGCGUAGAGAUUUGGAGGAAUACCAGUGGCGAAGGCGGCCCCCUGGCACAACACUGACGCUCAGGUGCGAAAGCGUGGGGAGCAAACAGGAUUAGAUACCCGUAGUC
rnacentral:rRNA from 1 species